UCCGGUUUGUCACCGGCGGUCUCCCUAGAGUUCCCAACUGAAUGAUGGCAACUAGGGACAAGGGUUGCGCUCGUUGCGGGACUUAACCCAACAUCUCACGACACGAGCUGACGACAGCCAUGCAGCACCUGUUUUCAGGGCCCGAAGGCACUCCCGCAUCUCUGCAGGAUUCCAUCAAUGUCAAGGGCAGGUAAGGUUCUUCGCGUUGCAUCGAAUUAAACCACAUGCUCCACCGCUUGUGCGGGUCCCCGUCAAUUCCUUUGAGUUUUACCGUUGCCGGCGUACUCCCCAGGCGGAGAACUUAACGCGUUAGCUGCGACACCGAGGGGCUAAUCCCCCCCGACAUCUAGUUCUCAUCGUUUACGGCGUGGACUAC
rnacentral:misc_RNA from 1 species